AACGAACGCUGGCGGCAGGCCUAACACAUGCAAGUCGAACGCCCUAGCAAUGGGGAGUGGCAGACGGGUGAGUAACACGUGGGAACCUUCCCUAUAGUACGGAAUAGCCCAGGGAAACUUGGAGUAAUACCGUAUACGCCCGAGAGGGGAAAGAUUUAUCGCUAUAGGAUGGGCCCGCGUCGGAUUAGCUAGUUGGUGAGGUAAUGGCUCACCAAGGCAACGAUCCGUAGCUGGUUUGAGAGAAUGACCAGCCACACUGGGACUGAGACACGGCCCAGACUCCUACGGGAGGCAGCAGUGGGGAAUCUUGGACAAUGGGCGCAAGCCUGAUCCAGCCAUGCCGCGUGAGUGAUGAAGGCCUUAGGGUUGUAAAGCUCUUUUGUCGGGGACGAUAAUGACGGUACCCGAAGAAUAAGCUCCGGCUAACUUCGUGCCAGCCGCCGCGGUAA
rnacentral:rRNA from 1 species